UGUGUAGGUUUAUGCUGUGAUGCUCGU
rnacentral:piRNA from 1 species